rnacentral:rRNA from 1 species
CCCUUAGAUGUUCUGGGCCGCACGCGUGCUACACUGAGUAAAUCAAUGGGUAAGGGAACACGAAAGUGCAACCUAAUCUUGAAAUUUGCUCGUGAUGGGGAUCGACGGUUGCAAUUUUCCGUCUUGAACGAGGAAUACCUUGUAGGCGCGUGUCAUCAUCACGCGCCGAAUACGUCCCUGCCCUUUGUACACACCGCCCGUCGCUCCUACCGAUUGAGUGAUCCGGUGAGGCUCUGGGACCUGGACGGAAAGAGCGUUUCGCUUGUUCUGUUUGGGAAACUUGGUCGAACCUUAUCAUUUAGAGGAAGGAGAAGUCGUAACA